UACGGAGGUGGCAAGCGUUGCUCGGAAUCACUGGGCGUAAAGGGCGCGUAGGCGGGGAGGUAAGUCGGGUGUGAAAUCCCUCGGCCCAACUGAGGAACUGCGCCCGAGACUGCUUCUCUUGAGUCCCGGAGAGGAAGAUGGAAUUCCCGGUGUAGCGGUGAAAUGUGUAGAGAUCGGGAGGAACACCGGUGGCGAAGGCGGUCUUCUGGACGGUGACUGACGCUGAGGCGCGAAAGCGUGGGGAGCGAACAGG
rnacentral:rRNA from 1 species